GGUCCGUUGAUCAAGGGGUUAAGACACCGCCUUUUCACGGCGGUAACACGGGUUCGAAUCCCGUACGGACUA
rnacentral:tRNA from 2 species